ACGGGAGGCAGCAGUAGGUAAUAUUAGGCAAUGGGGGGAACCCUGACCUAGCGACGCCGCGUGAAGGAUGAAGGUUUUCGGAUUGUAAACUUCUUUUAAGAGGGACGAUAAUGACGGUACCUCUUGAAUAAGCCACGGCUAACUACGUGCCAGCAGCCGCGUUAAUACGUAGGUGGCAAUCGUUGUCCGGAUUUACUGGGUGUAAAGGGCGAGUAGGCGGGAUUGCAAGUCAGAUGUGAAAUACCGAGGCUCAACUUCGGGGCUGCAUUUGAAACUGUAAUGCGUGAGUGAUGGAGAGGCAGGCGGAAUUCCCGGUGUAGCGGUGGAAUGCAUAGAGAUCGGGAGGAACACCAGUGGCGAAGGCGGACUGCUGGACAUUAACUGACGCUGAGGAGCGAAAGUGUGGGGAGCAAACAGGAUUAGAUACCCUGGUA
rnacentral:rRNA from 1 species